AUACUUCGGAUCAUGAGUGAGACGAUUGGGUGUUCAUGUCUUACGCAUGAGAUGUGCCGCCCUCAAACCUUGCUACGACGUGGGCACAUUACCCAUCGAACG